rnacentral:rRNA from 1 species
GGGUUGUGAGGUUAAGCGACUAAGCGUACACGGUGGAUGCCCUGGCAGUCAGAGGCGAUGAAGGGCGUGCUAAUCUGCGAUAAGCGCCGGUAAGGUGAUAUGAACCGUUAUAACCGGCGAUACCCGAAUGGGGAAACCCAGUGUGAUUCGUCACACUAUCAUUAACUGAAUCCAUAGGUUAAUGAGGCGAACCGGGGGAACUGAAACAUCUAAGUACCCCGAGGAAAAGAAAUCAACCGAGAUUCCCCCAGUAGCGGCGAGCGAACGGGGAGGAGCCCAGAGCCUGAAUCAGCAUGUGUGUUAGUGGAAGCGUCUGGAAAGGCGCGCGAUACAGGGUGACAGCCCCGUACACAAAAGCGCAUGUGUUGUGAGCUCGAUGAGUAGGGCGGGACACGUGGUAUCCUGUCUGAAUAUGGGGGGACCAUCCUCCAAGGCUAAAUACUCCUGACUGACCGAUAGUGAACCAGUACCGUGAGGGAAAGGCGAAAAGAACCCCGGCGAGGGGAGUGAAAAAGAACCUGAAACCGUGUACGUACAAGCAGUGGGAGCACAGGUUUACCUGUGUGACUGCGUACCUUUUGUAUAAUGGGUCAGCGACUUAUAUUCUGUAGCAAGGUUAACCG